rnacentral:tRNA from 4 species
GGGCCUAUAGCUCAGCGGUAGAGCCCCCGGCUCAUAACCGGUUGGUCCUUGGUUCGAAUCCAAGUAGGCCCACCA